GACGAACGCUGGCGGCGUGCUUAACACAUGCAAGUCGAACGGAAAGGCCCUGCUUUUGUGGGUUGCUCGAGUGGCGAACGGGUGAGUAACACGUGAGUAACCUGCCCUUGACUUUGGGAUAACUUCAGGAAACUGGGGCUAAUACCGGAUAGGAGCUCCUGCUGCAUGGUGGGGGUUGGAAAGUUUCGGCGGUUGGGGAUGGACUCGCGGCUUAUCAGCUUGUUGGUGGGGUAGUGGCUUACCAAGGCUUUGACGGGUAGCCGGCCUGGGAGGGUGACCGGCAACAUUGGGACUGAGAUACGGACCAGACUCCUACGGGAGGCAGCAGUGGGGAAUAUUGCACAAUGGGCGGAAGCCUGAUGCAGCAACGCCGCGUGCGGGAUGACGGCCUUCGGGUUGUAAACCGCUUUAGCAUGUGACGAAGCGUGAGUGACAGUAAUGGGUAAAGAAGCACCGGCUAACUACGUG
rnacentral:rRNA from 1 species